rnacentral:misc_RNA from 1 species
CAGCGGACUCAGUGUGCAUGGGGUAGUGAUGCGGUGAGGUUGUGUCGCUCGCGUGCGUCAGUCCCUGUGAGCGGCGUCAUUGUUGCAACCGUUUCAACACCAGCCCAGCCCCGUUCCCGCGUUGUGUGCAGUGCCUUGGGGUUGAGUGUUGGCUGUGUACUGGUUUUACGUGGAAAUUAAGUAGGGUGCAGUGAGUGAAGUAAGCGAGAGAAGCAGGAUAGCGCGGCCCCGACCUGUGUUGACCCAUACACGCAGGACACAAGGACUGGUGGUGAGGGGCAGGCCGGGGCGCGGACACGCUCACAGGUGCCCUUGAUCCCUGUUGGCGGGGUGGCGGCUCCUGCCAGACUGGAUGAGCGAGGAGUGAUAGCAGCCUAGCCUCUGUCCACCCCCAGGAAGGACGUGACCAUGACAGUUCCCGGCACCGCGCAGCUCCCAGUCACCUAACCAAGUCUUGCCUGCUCCCGAACUUCCGACGCACUGCACCAUGGACGCCAGCAAUGAGUUUAAGGUGUUCCUCUCCCCAACGAGCGCGUCAGCCUCGAAGGGGAAGAAGAGCGAGGGCGAGAGUGGGGCCGGGGUGCGUCAGCGGCUAGUGCCGGUCAUCAACAAGGUGUUCUCGCCGUCACACUUCAUGCUGGCGCAGAGGAAGACCACGGUGUACAAGGCUGUCUCCGGCGUCUCUUUCCAGGACAUAGACAUUGGCGGCAAGAGGAAGUCCAGCAGUAAUAAGAGAGAAAAGAAAGAUAGAAAACCUGAGAAGAAGGAUGGCAUUUACAACCCCGCCAGCGAGGGCGAGCUGUCUCUACAGAGUACUAAGAGCGAGAGAGUGAGGUCUUUUUUAGGGGUGCGAGGAGAGGGGCGAGCAGCGGCCAGGAGGCAUCGCCACAGCCUUGGCAGCAAUAGCGAUCGCCCCUCCAUCUUCCUUAAUGACUCCGAGAAAUCAGGAUCCAAGAAGUCAAGGAUUCGCAGCGUGAGCACCGCUGACAACCUCUACCUCUCGCAGGACAAAGGAGGCGAUGCUCCAGAGAAACCUCUGAGGUCUCGGUCUGCCUCACGCCCGCGCAAGUCUGUCUCUAAAGUGACUGUGGACAGCAACACAGGCACUGGUGCCAACAGUGGUCAGAAGGGCAAGGAGGAUGAGGAGGACAAGGAGGAUGCAGGAAAAGGAGACUCUGCCGAUAAACGCGAGGAAGGCGAAAGCGACAAGAAGGCACAGUCUCGUGCACGCAAGAAGGUUUCUGGGAGGAGUCGCAAGUCCUGCCCUGAUCAGUUUGGACGCAAUGAAAAAGCCAAAGAGGAACGGCAGGAUGAGGAGCCUGAAGGAGGCUAUUUCAGUCUGGAGAAGGAGGAGAGGGCCGGUGGCGAUAUCAAGUACAUUUACGAAGCUCUCCCAAGCAAUUCCUCCGAGGAAUACCUUGAGAAUGAUCAGUGCGUGGAGGCAAUUUAUGUGUGUCAAGUGAUGAAGCGGGACAUGGACGUCAGCGAGGAGGAAGAACCCAUCUAUGAAAACUGUCAGCUGGUCAAGUCAAAGAGCGCCAAUUUUGUGUCCACGAGGGACGAAGAUGAGAACUGUCCAGCUGUGGAGCAUGCGAAGGAGAAAGAACAAGAAGAUACAAACAAGGAGGGUCGCAUUGCAAACCUGGCGGUGGAAAACCCUUUGGCGCUCACGCGUGUAACGGCAACACAGGCGAGGCUCAGCAGGCGGCGCCCUGCAGGCUCUGUCGACUCCAUUCCUUAUAUUGAUGACAGCGAAAACUCCGGUGACGAAUCAGUGACGAGGAGUCCGAGGAGCCCGAGGAUAAAACCCUCCGGCAGCGUCACUGUCGUCACCAUAAAGGAGGAUGACAACAUGGAAGUAACGCGCAAGGUGGGGCCGCUGCGGAGUCAAGGCAUGCUGUCUUCCUCUGAGGAUGGAGUGGACGAAUCAGCGUCAGAGGGUGGAGGAAAGCCCGAGCAGCCCCAGAUAGGCGGGAAUGCAAAGCCUGAGGACGAGGGCGAGGCGGGGUGUGCUCCGCGGCGGCCCGCCAGAUACUCCUACCCCGCUACCUCGCCCUCUGGCAUGAGGGUGUGCAACAAGGUGGGCCGCAGGCUGGCGCGCUUUACUCCUGCUUCAGUGGAGGGACGAGGCUCAGGAACGUCCAGUACGGCGGACGACGCGAGGGUGAAGAAGAGCAUGAGUCACGGGGACGUUCAGACUCACGUGGAGGGUCGUGACGGACCACUCUCAGAGUCUUUCUCCGACGACGACAUCCGCCACAACGAAGAAUUCGAAUCCUUCUCUGAGACGGACUCCGACCUCAACAACCUGGAUUACGAGUUGUUCCUGCCCCGCGAAGGGCGGGGUGGCGCUGGCAGGUCGCCGCAGAGAACUAAGCGGAAGCCGCGAGGUCGGUCAUUAUCUGCCUCACAAGCCGACCCCCUCCUGAUUUCUACCCCCACCAGAGCGCCUCGUGCCGCGCCCAGGCGUCGUGUCUCCACAAGCGCCGUGAGUGGCGGCUCGGGUGAUCUGCAGUCGCCCAAGACGUUUCAGGAUCUACUUGGAGACAAACACCUCAACCCCCCGGAAGGAGAGGCGGCUUCUCAGCCUAGGGACGGGCAAAAGCUAGUGCCUCUCAUCAUCCGCGAGACGGUGGAUGAGGGUGAUCCCUCAGGGGGCGUGGCGGCGACCCAGGCUCAGGGCGGCGAGCAGCAGCUUGCCCUGGACGACACGCUUUCCUUCACCUGGUCUGACGCCGAGAGUGAGUUCGAGUUCAUCGACUUCAACAAAGUGGAGCCACCCAAGACGUGCGUGGUGUACAAGGGCCUCGCCGUCACGUGUGCCGUGGUGGCCCUCUCCACCGCAACUACCACCACCACCACCGCCGCCGUCUGCACCGACAAGAAGGUCGCUGGCGCCGUCAAGAGAACACAGAGUAUGAAAGUGGUGGGUGAACGAGUGAGCAGCCGUGGCGAGGCGGGCCUUCGCUGGGAGCCCCUGCUGUGUGUCCUUCCCGAGGGUCUAGCCGCCUCCCACCAGGGUGGACUCGUGAGAAGUGUGAGCGGGGUGAGCAUUCGGCGGAGUGUGAGGGCGGACGGCAGCCGCUACACCGCUACCUCUGUUGACGCUAAGACCUCGCAGGAUGAUACAGGUGCGGUGGCCAGGGUCACUCAUGGAGGCCAAGGGUCAGCACCCCCCUCCCCCCAGCUGUCGUCCUCUCGCUCGGCGGACAACACGCCGAAGAAGAACAUUCUGCAGCGCAUCAAGCUGGGCGCCAGGAAUGCCUCCAAGACUACUAAGGGCAUUAAGACCGCCCGGGGCUCUGACAGCUGUGUGGAAGGUGGUGGAGAGGACGGCCUGCCACGUUCCCACUCCCACGAUGAUCUGUACCACUCCCCAGGCAGAGAUGGACAUGCCCCCUCCCCUCAACAAAGCCGCUCGAGGCAUCAGAACCAGGACGAGAUGCGGCGAACAGAAAACACACUCAAAAUCUGGAUUAUGGAGGCGAAGGAGAUUCCUAGCAAGAAAAAGUACUUUUGUCACCUGAUAGUGGACCUACAGCCCAGCCACCGCACAUGUUCCAAGCCCAUGACCAACAUGUGCUUCUGGGGAGAAUACUUUGAGCUAGACCUGAGUCCUGAGAUCACUAGCAUUGUUAUUGAGCUCAAGAGGGAAGGCGACAAGAAGUCAAACAAGAAGAUAGGCUCUGUAGAGAUUGACCUGAAACCGUCCAGCCCGGGCCGAGCCACCCAGGAGGAGCAGUGGUACCCUGUGAAGGUGGAAAAGCAGGACAAGACCACUCCAGCCCUCAGGAUAAGACACAGGUUCCAGUCGCUGGACAUCCUCCCUCUGUCCCAGUAUGGAUCCCUUCUUCAGUACCUGAAGGAGAAUGCCACCCCGCUCUGUCAGCUGCUGGAGCCAGUGUUGCCCGUGAAAGCCAAAGAAGACAUUGCCACUAUACUAAUCAACAUUCUGCAGGCUGAGAACUGUGCCAUUGCCUUCCUUGUUGAUCUUGUUUACACAGACAUCAAGACCAAUGCGGAGAACGAGCACCUGCUCUUCCGGGGGAAUAGUGUAGCCACCAAGGCGAUAGAAGCCUACAUGAAGCUGGUGGGUGAGCAGUACCUGCACGACACCCUGAAGGACCCCAUCCUGGCCCUCAUCACCAGUGCUGAGGACCUGGAGGUGGAUCCCCUCAAGAUCACCAACGUGCAGUUCCUGAAGGAGCACCACAACUCCCUCAGGGAGAAAGUGACUGCUGUUUGGGAAAAGAUCUUGCAAUCUAGUCGGAACUUCCCUGUGGAGCUGCGUGAGGUGUUCCAUAAGCUGCGGGAGCAACUCUCCCGCCAGGAGAAGUGUGAGCUGACCGACAACUUGAUCUCUUCAUGUGUGUUUCUGCGCUUUUUCUGUCCAGCUGUCUUGUCGCCAUAUCUCUUCAACAUGGCUACAGCGUACCCUGACGACCGGGCCAGCAGGAAUCUCACAUUGGUGGCCAAGACACUUCAGACACUUGCCAACUUCACUCUGUUCCAAGGAAAGGAGAAGUUCAUGGAAUUCCUCAAUGAGUUCAUCAGUAAGGAGCAGGAACGGUGCAGAGCGUUCCUCAGAGCCAUAUCUAGUCCCCCAUCACCAGAGGACAGUAUCCUGGAGUUUGAUGGAAAGAUUGAUCGGGGCAAGUACCUGGCCCUGCUCCACUUACACCUGGUGGAUGUCCUUGCUGAGAUGAACACUCAGGGUUAUCAGAGUGAGGCCAGCAAAGUAAUGGCACUGGUGGAGGACAUCAGUGCCUUGCUAGGUGGCAAUCACACUGUGCGUCGGCCCUCCAGUGGUCCCAUCCUCCAUGGCAGCCCAGCUCUUGUCCCGCCUCAGAUAACUGCCAGUAACAACAACUUCACGCGGGAGGAGUCUACAGACGGCAUAGAGGAGACAGGCACAGGCUUAGGAAUGCCGCCUCCCUCCAACAGGUCCCAAUCCUUCCCUCGCUCAGUCACUCCCAUCUACCCUCACCACCACAUGGUCACCAAUAGCCCAAGACAACCAUUCCAUCACCAUGUGAGGUCAACGGCUGGUGACCUUGGCACCAGUGAGGAGCACGUCCUCAUUACAGCCUUUGACCCCUCCUCAAGACCUCAGAUCUCCAUGAUCCCCUCCGAGGAAGCCAACAACAACAAUCCACCAUCAGUGGAAAUGCGGGUCAACAACAGCAACAGUUACUACAUGGGCGAGGUGCCUCCACCGCCCCUCCACCAGGUUCACCACCAGCCCCAGCGGGCGCUGCUGCACAACACCGCACAGACGCGGCAACACCUCAGAGGUCCACCCUCAAGAAACCUCUCUGUGGGAGAAGUUCAAAGUUCUGCUGACAGAAGAGUAUACGACAGAAAUUGUUCAGAGUUUUUUAGAUACAUGGAUGAUGCUGCUCACAAGUUCAUCGCUGCAUGCAAGGAUGGAGAGAACAACAUCCAGGGUUCCCAGACCUCCAUUUCCCAGCUUUCCAAUAUUGCCUCAUCAGGGUAUCAGAGCUUUGCCUACUCUCAGUCAUCUUCUCCUGUAGACUCCCUCCUCCACACUGACAACUCCAGCCUCCUCUCAAGGGAGAAUGGAAACCCAGGUCUGCCAGUGGGGAUUAGACAGGUUCACCAUGACUCACCUCUAGCCUCACCUCUGCACCAGCAAACUUCCAAGUAUCGGGCAGUGGGCAUGCACCCAGCCUAUCUGGGACAUGCAGGUCAUGCCUCCCUCCAUGGCACCCCCAGACAUGCCCCAAGAGUCCCUCACCCCAAAGAGAGUCCAAACAGCAGCCUGAGCUCCUCUCAGAGUGUUGAGGAUUUGUCCUCGAUGCGCCGAGGACGCACCCGACAGCGCCGCUCGGCUUCCUCCUCCUCAGACUCCUCCCCAGACUCUCAUCCUCCUUCCCAUUCAAACUCUCACUUUCGACGUGCACCAGCCCAUACUCCUCGCACCAACCCCCAUUGUUCUCCCCGCUUGGUGCCAUCUCCAGCCCUCAGGCAUGAACUUAGGUCUGCUAAACAGCGCCAUGACCGCAGUGUUAGUAGCAGGAGAGGGAGGAGUAACAGGUCAUCGGAGAGAGAGGACCUCCGAGGACCAUCCCACUGCUGUGACGACUCUGAGGACGACCUAAAUGUUGCUGUGGGAUCACUGGGUGGCGCAGGGGCUGGGGGCUGGGUGCGGGAGGGCUGGCAGGAGCACCACCACUUACUGGCCCACAACCUGCCACCACAGCAACUCCUUGACCAACAGGAAGACCAAAUGAGAGUCAUAAUUGAAAGGCUGAUGUCAAUGGAACAAGAGUUUCGUCAUGAGCAGGAAAUGAUGAGGCGAGAGAUGCACUACAAGGAUGCCAGAAUUGAUGCUCAGGAAAAGAAAAUUGCUGCACUAGAUUCAGCAAACACCCACCUCAUCCGCACCAUUGCCUCCCUCAACUCAAGGUGAGGGAGGGAGUGCAGCAUACCACCCCUGCAAGGGAAUAAGGAGUUUGUUAAUUAGAAAUGUAGCCUGGAGAGCUGAAGCCAGACUUAAGUGGUGACCUGCACAACGACUCCUGCAAUGCAUCUGACACCUCAGACUACAAGAGUUCCUCCUGCUGAGUGGUGCCCUCCUCCCUCCUAGCACUUAGUAGUCCUUGCAUUUCCCAGUGAAACCAAGUAAUAAAAGGUUGUAUAUAUUAUAUACUAAGGUAAUGUUACUCUAGUAUACUUGCCAGUUAUGAUGUUAUUAGAGACUUGUUCACAAAUAUCAAACACAAAAAUGAUACUAAUUUGAAUAUACGUAAUAUAAUAGAAAUUUUUAGUGUUCAAAUUACAGAGCACACACACUGUGUUUCUGUGCUGGGCAUUUAAGUACAAGGUCAUCAUUCCCUGUCUUAUGUCUGUCUUAAUUCUCCUUGAAUACUGAAACAACACAUUUCUGUUCCCUUCCCCUGAACAAAAGUGACAUCACACACAUGAUGUUUGACCUGGUAAGUCUCCCAGCAGUGGGAUUUCAGCCAGCCAGCCACGGCUCAAAACAGUUUGGCUUACAAGUCACAAUUCCUGUCCAUGUACAAUUUUUUCUUCAGUGUCACUCCACGACUCAAAACAGUCAAGCCAGGCCUGCAUCAUUCAUUCCUCCUUGCUCUUUUGCAAGAUUCUCAUCUGACAUUCCAUUUAUAUUAAAAAAUACUUGUCUGUAGGAAGACAAAUUAAACUUUUGUCUUAAUUUGCAGAAAGUAUUGUUUUUCCUAUGAAAUUUCUAAUGCCGGGAAUGUGAGUUGUUCUGUUGAUGCAAUUUCCAGUAUUCAGAAUUUCAAAUCUAAUUCCAUUUUUGUACCUUAAAAUACAAACAAUUUAUUCUUUUUCAUAGCAAGUAAAUUUAUGUAUAAUUUAACAAAGUUGUCAUUUUUAGAGACAAACAAGAAGGCUUUAUUCUGUACAGAUAAGAGUUCUUUAUUCUUUUGUAUAGUGUGAGAUAUAUGGACCUUGUAUAGUUAUGCUUUGUGUAUACUGUAGUUGAUGGUAGUACACACUGGAGAACACCAAAGAUUAGGUUAUAAAGUCCUGAUUUUUGAAGCUCAACGUCAGUGCAGUGCGUCCGACACUAUUUUAUGUACAUUAGAAUGUAAAUAAGUAAGUCCAUACAUAGAAAACAAAAAGACAGUGUAAUUUUUCCCAUAUCUUGAUAAGCUGAGGUUUUGAUACAGUAUAUAAAAUGUAUUAGAGAAUCUGUGUUUGUAAAACAUGUUUAUACAUAUUUAGAAAGCCAAAGGUUUAAACAAGGUUGUACAUUAUGAUAUCUACAUAAAUAAAGAUGUGGAUUAUGCUGUUUGUACCAAUUCUAUAAUAAAUACACUUCUUAAAUGAAGAUUUAUUGUG